rnacentral:snRNA from 1 species
AGGUGUAAGGGUGACCUGGCUGCAAUAUCCUUUGGUAUCCACUGAUUGCCAGAGUUGGUUAGGCUUAGCUGGCAAGCUAGGUGGGUAUCCCCUUCUUCCCUCACUGCUCCACGUGCGUCUCUCCAGAUGAUGCGUGCUCGGUGGAAAAGAUGACCAUCCCGGAUAGAGGAGGACUAGUCUUUGGUCAAGGGUAUGCCAGUAGCUACACUCCCCUGCAAGAAUCUCCAAACAAGCUCUUGAAUGAGAAGUCAAGACAAAGAAUUUGGAAAAAUUAAGUUAAAAAAGUACAAAUAAUGCAAUAAAAUUUGUAGUCAGAAACAAUUCAUAU